rnacentral:rRNA from 1 species
AGUUCGAUCCUGGCUCAGGAUUGAACGCUGGGGCGGAUGCUUUACACAUGCAAGUCGAACGGCAGCACGGUAUUAUAGCGGUGGCUAUUAAGGACUUCGGUCUGGUGGCGAGUGGGCGAACGGGUGAGUAAUGUAUCGAAAUCGUUUGUAGCGGGGGAUAACUACGCGUGAAAGCGUAGGCCACGUAUACUGCCCUUCGGGGAAAGUGGGGACCCGCCUGCACUAUUAGGAGCGGGCUAUAGGAUAUCGGAUUAGCUAGUUGGCGGGGUAACGGCUCACCGAAGGCGACGAUCCGUAGCUGGUUUGAGAGGACGACCAGCCACACUGGGACCGAGACACGGCCCAGACUCUACUGGAGGCAGCAGCAGGGAAUUUUGAUAAUGGGGGGAAACCUGAUCCAGCCAUCCCGCGUGUGUGCGAUGAAGGCCUUCGGGUUGCGAAAGCACUUUGGCAGGAAAAGAAACGGCACGGGAUAAUUCCCGUGCAACUGACUAUACCGCAGGAAAUAAGCACUGGCUAACUACGUGCCAGCAGCCGCGGUAAUACGUAGGGCGGGUGCAAGCGUUAAUCGGAAUUACUGGGCGAAGCGUGUUAGUAAGUGUCUGAAAGGAAAAAGAUGAAAUCCAGAGCUUAACUUUGGAACUGCAUUUUUGGACCAUUACCGAGCUAGAGUGUCAGUGAGGGAGGUGAAUUCGCGUAGCAGUGAAAAUGCGUAGAUAUGCGGAGGAACACCGAUGGCGAAGGUGCGCAGCCUCCUGGGAUAACACUGACGCUCAUGCAUCGGCGUGGAGCAAACAGUAUCGAUACCCUGGUAGUCCACGCCCUAAACGAUGUCAACUUAGCUGUUGUAGCCUUCGGGCUCGGUAGCGCAGCUAACGCGUAGUUGACCGCCUGGGGAGUACGGUCGCAAGAUUAAAACUCAAAGCAGGAAUUGACGCUUGGGACCUGCACAAGCGGUGGAUGAUGAUUAAUUCGAUGCAACGCGAAAACCUACCUACCCUUGACAUGUCUGGAAUCCCGAAGAGAUUUGGGAGUGCUCGCAAGAGAACCGGAAAACACAGGUGCUGCAUGGCUGUCGUCAGCUCGUGUCGUGAGAUGCUGGGUUAAGUCCCGCAACGAGCGCAACCCUUGUCAUUAUUGCUACGAAAGGGCACCUAAUGAGACUGCCGGUGACAAACCGGAGGAAGGUGGAUGACGUCAGGGCGUUUCUCAGCGGUCUUUGCGGUAGGGCUUCACACGUCAUACAAUGUCGGGACAGAGGGUCGCCAACCCGCGAGGGUGGGAGCCAAUCCCAGAAACCCGAUCGUAGUCCGGAUCGCAGUCUGCAACUCGACUGCGUGAAGUCGGAAUCGCUAGUAAUCGCGGAUCAGUAUGUCGCGGGCAGUGGUGAAUACGUUCCCGCGUUCUGUACACACCGCCCGUCACACCAUGGGAGUGGGUUUACCUCAGUAGCGGAAGGCUCUCCAACCGUAAAGGAGGGCGAUUACCACGGUAGGAUCUACGCUUAUCAGUAAAGUCGUAGCUCAUGCAC